ACGGAGGGUGCAAGCGUUAUCCGGAAUCACUGGGUUUAAAGGGUGCGUAGGCGGUGGCGUAAGUCAGUUGUGAAAUUCCCCGGCUUAACCGGCGGGACUGCGAUUGAUACUGCGUUACUUGAAUCAGGUUGAGGUAGGCGGAAUGUGACAUGUAGCGGUGAAAUGCUUAGAUAUGUCAUAGAACACCGAUUGCGAAGGCAGCUUGCUGGACCUGUAUUGACGCUGAGGCACGAAAGCGUGGGGAGCAAACAGGA
rnacentral:rRNA from 1 species